AUGCGGACUGCGACAGGGCGACCCCGUGUCGCCACAGCUCUUCGUGCUCGCCGUGGACACCCUCGGACGCCUCAUCUGCCGCGCACACGAGUCCGGCAUCCUGCAACAGCUGCAACCCCGACAAGCCAUUCCGGCCAUCUCCUUAUACGCCGACGAUGUGAUGCUCUUCUGCCACGCCACACCGGGAGACAUGGAGGCCAUCAAGGGCAUACUUACACUCUUCGGUGA
rnacentral:rRNA from 1 species